rnacentral:rRNA from 1 species
CCCUUAGAUGUCCUGGGCCGCACGCGCGUUACACUGAUGCAUUCAACGAGCUUAUAACCUUGGCCGAGAGGCCUGGGCAAUCUUGUUAACGUGCAUCGUGAUAGGGAUAGAUUAUUGAAAUUAUUAAUCUUGAACGAGGAAUUCCUAGUAAACGCAGAUCAUCAAUCUGCAUUGAUUACGUCCCUGCCCUUUGUACACACCGCCCGUCGCACCUACAGAUUGGAUGGUCCGGUGAAGCCUCGGGAUUGUGGUUCUUGCCGCUUUAUUGUGGCGUGACCGCGAGAACUUGUCUAAACCUUAUCAUCUAGAGGAAGGUGAAGUCGUAACA